rnacentral:rRNA from 1 species
GACAGAGGGUGCAAACGUUGUUCGGAUUUACUGGGCGUAAAGCGCGUGUAGGCGGCUUGGCAAGUUGGAUGUGAAAGCCCACGGCUCAACCGUGGAAGCGCAUCCAAAACUGCUUCGCUCGAGUCUCGGAGAGGAAGGUGGAAUGCUUGGUGUAGAGGUGAAAUGCGUAGAGAUGCGGAGGAACACCAGUGGCGAAAAGCGGCUUUCUGGUCCUUAACUGACGCUGAGGCGCGAAAGCAUGGGGGAGCGAACGGG